GGGUUGUGAGGUUAAGCGACUAAGCGUACACGGUGGAUGCCCUGGCAGUCAGAGGCGAUGAAGGACGUGCUAAUCUGCGAAAAGCGUCGGUAAGGUGAUAUGAACCGUUAUAACCGGCGAUGUCCGAAUGGGGAAACCCAGUGCAAUUCGUUGCACUAUCGUUAACUGAAUACAUAGGUUAACGAGGCGAACCGGGGGAACUGAAACAUCUAAGUACCCCGAGGAAAAGAAAUCAACCGAGAUUCCCCCAGUAGCGGCGAGCGAACGGGGAGCAGCCCAGAGUCUGAAUCAGCUUGUGUGUUAGUGGAACGGUCUGGAAAGUCCGACGGUACAGGGUGAUAGUCCCGUACACCAAAAUGCACAGGUUGUGAACUCGAAGAGUAGGGCGGGACACGUGGUAUCCUGUCUGAAUAUGGGGGGACCAUCCUCCAAGGCUAAAUACUCCUGACUGACCGAUAGUGAACCAGUACCGUGAGGGAAAGGCGAAAAGAACCCCGGCGAGGGGAGUGAAAAAGAACCUGAAACCGUGUACGUACAAGCAGUGGGAGCACCUUUAUGGUGUGACUGCGUACCUUUUGUAUAAUGGGUCAGCGACUUAUAUUCUGUAGCAAGGUUAACCGUAUAGGGGAGCCGCAGGGAAACCGAGUCUUAACUGGGCGUUAAGUUGCAGGGUAUAGACCCGAAACCCGGUGAUCUAGCCAUGGGCAGGUUGAAGGUUGGGUAACACUAACUGGAGGACCGAACCGACUAAUGUUGAAAAAUUAGCGGAUGACUUGUGGCUGGGGGUGAAAGGCCAAUCAAACCGGGAGAUAGCUGGUUCUCCCCGAAAGCUAUUUAGGUAGCGCCUCGUGAACUCAUCUUCGGGGGUAGAGCACUGUUUCGGCUAGGGGGUCAUCCCGACUUACCAACCCGAUGCAAACUACGAAUACCGAAGAAUGUUAUCACGGGAGACACACGGCGGGUGCUAACGUCCGUCGUGAAGAGGGAAACAACCCAGACCGCCAGCUAAGGUCCCAAAGUCAUGGUUAAGUGGGAAACGAUGUGGGAAGGCACAGACAGCCAGGAUGUUGGCUUAGAAGCAGCCAUCAUUUAAAGAAAGCGUAAUAGCUCACUGGUCGAGUCGGCCUGCGCGGAAGAUGUAACGGGGCUAAACCAUGCACCGAAGCUGCGGCAGCGACGCUCAGGCGUUGUUGGGUAGGGGAGCGUUCUGUAAGCCUGCGAAGGUGGCCUGUGAGGGUUGCUGGAGGUAUCAGAAGUGCGAAUGCUGACAUAAGUAACGAUAAAGCGGGUGAAAAGCCCGCUCGCCGGAAGACCAAGGGUUCCUGUCCAACGUUAAUCGGGGCAGGGUGAGUCGACCCCUAAGGCGAGGCCGAAAGGCGUAGUCGAUGGGAAACAGGUUAAUAUUCCUGUACUUGGUGUUACUGCGAAGGGGGGACGGAGAAGGCUAUGUUAGCCGGGCGACGGUUGUCCCGGUUUAAGCAUGUAGGCUGGUUAUCCAGGCAAAUCCGGAUAAUCAAGGCUGAGGUGUGAUGACGAGGCACUACGGUGCUGAAGUAACAAAUGCCCUGCUUCCAGGAAAAGCCUCUAAGCAUCAGGUAACAUCAAAUCGUACCCCAAACCGACACAGGUGGUCAGGUAGAGAAUACCAAGGCGCUUGAGAGAACUCGGGUGAAGGAACUAGGCAAAAUGGUGCCGUAACUUCGGGAGAAGGCACGCUGGUGUGUAGGUGAAGUCCCUGCGGAUGGAGCUGAGACCAGUCGAAGAUACCAGCUGGCUGCAACUGUUUAUUAAAAACACAGCACUGUGCAAACACGAAAGUGGACGUAUACGGUGUGACGCCUGCCCGGUGCCGGAAGGUUAAUUGAUGGGGUUAUCCGUAAGGAGAAGCUCUUGAUCGAAGCCCCGGUAAACGGCGGCCGUAACUAUAACGGUCCUAAGGUAGCGAAAUUCCUUGUCGGGUAAGUUCCGACCUGCACGAAUGGCGUAAUGAUGGCCAGGCUGUCUCCACCCGAGACUCAGUGAAAUUGAACUCGCUGUGAAGAUGCAGUGUACCCGCGGCAAGACGGAAAGACCCCGUGAACCUUUACUAUAGCUUGACACUGAACAUUGAGCCUUGAUGUGUAGGAUAGGUGGGAGGCUUUGAAGCGUGGACGCCAGUCUGCGUGGAGCCAACCUUGAAAUACCACCCUUUAAUGUUUGAUGUUCUAACGUGGGCCCCUUAUCGGGGUUGCGGACAGUGUCUGGUGGGUAGUUUGACUGGGGCGGUCUCCUCCCAAAGCGUAACGGAGGAGCACGAAGGUUAGCUAAUCCUGGUCGGACAUCAGGAGGUUAGUGCAAUGGCAUAAGCUAGCUUGACUGCGAGCGUGACGGCGCGAGCAGGUGCGAAAGCAGGUCAUAGUGAUCCGGUGGUUCUGAAUGGAAGGGCCAUCGCUCAACGGAUAAAAGGUACUCCGGGGAUAACAGGCUGAUACCGCCCAAGAGUUCAUAUCGACGGCGGUGUUUGGCACCUCGAUGUCGGCUCAUCACAUCCUGGGGCUGAAGUAGGUCCCAAGGGUAUGGCUGUUCGCCAUUUAAAGUGGUACGCGAGCUGGGUUUAGAACGUCGUGAGACAGUUCGGUCCCUAUCUGCCGUGGGCGCUGGAGAAUUGAGGGGGGCUGCUCCUAGUACGAGAGGACCGGAGUGGACGCAUCACUGGUGUUCGGGUUGUCAUGCCAAUGGCACUGCCCGGUAGCUAAAUGCGGAAGAGAUAAGUGCUGAAAGCAUCUAAGCACGAAACUUGCCCCGAGAUGAGUUCUCCCUGAGACU
rnacentral:rRNA from 1 species